GAUGAAGAACGUAGUGAAAUGCGAUAAGUAAUGCGAAUUGCAGAAUUUCUAGUGAGUCAUCGAAUCUUUGAACGCACAUUGCGCCCUUUGGUAUUCCGAAGGGCAUGCCUGCUCGAGCGUCAUUAUCAACCCUCAAGCCUGGCUUGUUGUUGGACCUCAGGUCGCCGCUCCGGUGGACCGGUCUCAAAGACAAUGACGGCGUCCGUGGGACCCUCGGUGCAAUGAGCUUCUUCCAAAGCACGCAUCAGAGUGGGCUCGCGGGGGCCGUCUCCCCGUCAUAUUUUAUCAAGGUUGACCUCGGAUCAGGUAGGAAUACCCGCUGAACUUAAGCAUAUCAAUAAGCGGAGGA
rnacentral:misc_RNA from 1 species